rnacentral:rRNA from 1 species
CCUACGGGGUGCUGCAGUGGGGAAUAUUGGACAAUGGGCGAAAGCCUGAUCCAGCCAUGCCGCGUGUGUGAAGAAGGCCUUCGGGUUGUAAAGCACUUUCAGUGGGGAAGAAAGCCUUGGGGCUAAUACCCUCGAGGAAGGACAUCACCCACAGAAGAAGCACCGGCUAACUCCGUGCCAGCAGCCGCGGUAAUACGGAGGGUGCGAGCGUUAAUCGGAAUUACUGGGCGUAAAGCGCGCGUAGGCGGUCUGAUAAGCCGGUUGUGAAAGCCCCGGGCUCAACCUGGGAACGGCAUCCGGAACUGGCAGGCUAGAGUGCAGGAGAGGAAGGUAGAAUUCCCGGUGUAGCGGUGAAAUGCGUAGAGAUCGGGAGGAAUACCAGUGGCGAAGGCGGCCUUCUGGACUGACACUGACGCUGAGGUGCGAAAGCGUGGGUAGCAAACAGGAUUAGAUACCCGAGUAGUC